UGACAGGCUCGUGUGCACGGGGGUGGAGAAGGGGGUUCUGCCCAUGGGGGGCCGCUCCGCUCUGGCCCCAGCACCACCACUAGCAACCACCGCCGCCAGGCGCACGAGCGGCCGACCAGCUGUGGGCUGAGGGCCGCCACCUUCGGCUACACCGCAGAAAUCCAAAAGACAAGCGAGGUUUAAGCUGUUUGCUCUGGAACAGAAAAAAUCAUAUGUUGAAACAGAAAAAAUAAGAUUACUGUAGAACCAAGUCAUCGCAAGUGACACGAAUACCGACAAAAAAAUACAAAUCAUAGAAAAACAGGAACAGGAUCAUUGUGCCCAUUAGCAACAAUGCUUACAGAUUCAUUAUGGCUCACAACAAAGAAACCACUUUAAGGAGCUCUACUUAAGCAAAGGCACCAACAAUGAGAACUUUCUCCACUGGACAAAGAGAGAUGAUAUGAAGGCUGACUAUUUUAGAAUCAUAGAAUCGUGGAAUGAUUUGUGUUGGAAGAGACCUUAAAGAUCAUCUAGUUCGAGACCCGCUGCCAUGGGCAAGGACACCUUCUACUGGACCAAGAUACUCAAAGCCCCAUCCAGCCUGGCCUUGAACACUCCUAAGGAUGGGGCAUUGUCCUAGUUUAACCCCAGCAGGCAACUAAGCACUACACUGCCACUCACUUGUACCUCGCCAGUGUGAUGGGGGGGUAGAAUUGGUAGGGUAUAAGUGAGAAAGCUGCUGGGUUGAGAUAAAGGCAGUGUAAUGUGUAAAGCUAAAGCUACACACACAAGCAAAGCAAAACAAGGAAUUCAUUCAGUAUUUCCCAUGGGCAGGCAGGUGUUCAGCCAUCUCCAGGACAGCAGGACUUCAUCACAUAUAACGGUUACUUGGGAAUAUAAACACCAUAACUCCAAAACUCCACCACUUCCUUCUUCUUCCUCCUUAUAUGCUGAGCAUGGUGUCAUGUGGAAUGGAAUAUCCCUUUGGUCAGUUGGGAUCAGCAGUCCUAGCUGUGUCUCCUCCCAACUUUAUAGUACACCCCCAGCCUACUUGCUGGUGGGGUGGUGUGAGAAACAGAAGAGGCCUUGUCUCUGUGUAAGCACUGCUCAGCAGUAAUUAAAACAUCUCUGUAUUAUCAACACUGUUUUCAGCACAAAUCCAAAACACAGCCCCAUAUCAGCUACUACGAAGAAAAUUAACUCUAUCCCAACCAAAAGCAGCACAGACAUCCACAGCUUCUCUAGGAAACCUGUUCCAGUGCCUCAUCACCUUUGUGGUGAAGAAUUUCUUCCUUAUAUCUAAUCUAAAUCUACCCUCUUUCAGUUUAAAGCUGUUACCCCUUGUCCUAUCACUACAUGCUCUUGUAAGAAGUCCCUCUCCAGCUUUCUUUUAAGUCCACUUUAGGUACUGGAAGGCUGCUUUAAGGUCUCCCUGGAGCCUUCUCUUCUCCAGGCUGACCAAACCCAACUCUCAGCCUCUCUCCAUAACAGAAGAGCUCCAGCCCUCACCUCAUGUGGAUUUAAUGAGUUAGACAGCAUUUAUUUUCACAAUGAGACAUAUUCAAUUCUUUUGAAAUUCAAUAGCCAUAGAAACAAAGUUCCCAUAAAUUGGAUAAAGCAAAUACAAGGAUAUAGCACAGCAUGGUUUAGUUUUUUGCUGAUUGAUUAUAAAGAAGAGAAAAUCCCUAACAUAUACACAUGUAUUGAAAGAACAAUAAAUAUUCAAACAGACUUUGAAACUUGUCAUCAAGGCAGUGUAAUAUUUCUUCAUUUUUUCCAUUUUAUGCAUCAAAAUAUGUAUUACUCUAAGAUCUAUUUCUAGAGAUUUCUCUACGCACUGAUAUAGGCCUAUAGAUAAAACUAAUUACAACCUAUUCAGCUGUAGUCCCUGGAGCUGAAAAGUUGCAAGAGUUAAUUGCAAAAUACACUGAACUAGCAUAACUACUGCAAAAAAGCAGUGUUAAACAUUGGCAAUAUAAAAUAAUUUCUUCCUUCAUUUGGAAGUGGCAAAAAAUCACCUAUUUUGUUAAGAGUUCUGAUCCUCACUCUUAUAAGAAAUUUCAUAUUUGCUGUUCCUUGUACCCAGUACAAAUCUUGUAGUAUCUGUGAAAAUCACUGCUAUUUUCAUGUUGUGGUUGUUAUUAAUAAAUAUUAACUCAGAUUUGUUUUUCUUCUAUAAGGAAUGCUGAAAUGUAAGGUAGUGAUGAUGUAUCAACUAUCAAGCAAAUUUCAGAUGUAACUAAUGUGGUCAGUUAAGUCUUAUCUCUUUCAAGAGUGGCAAAUUCUCGUAGGAGGAUUACAGAAACAGAAUCAUAGAAUAUCUGGAGCUGGAAGGGACCCAUAAGGAUCAUCAAGUCCAACUCCCUCCUCUUUGCAGGACUACCUAAAAGUAAACCAUGUGACUAAGAGCAUUGUCCAGAUGCUCCUUGAACUCUUGGUACAGUGACCACGGUGGACCUUCUUCCAGUGACAAAACACUCUCAGUGUAGAACCUUUUCCUAAUGUCCAAUCUGAACUUCCUCUGACACAGCUUCAUUCCAUUUCCUCGCAUCCUAUCUCUGGUCACCAGAGAGAGGAGAUCAGCACCUCCAUCUCUGCUGCCACCCUUGAGAAAGCUGUAGAGUGUCAUAAUAUCACCCCACAGCCUUCUCUUCUCCAGGCUCAACAAACUAAGUGACCUAAAUCACUCCUUCUAAGUCUUGCCUUUGAGACCCUUCACCCUCUUGGUCGCUCUCCUCUGGACACUCUCUAAUAGCUUGUUGUUCUUCUUAUAUUGAGGAUAAGAAUGUAAAGGUGAAAUCACUAGAACUAAUUUGUACAGUGACAUGAUAUGACGAGGAUGUUUUUCCUUAGGAUUGUGAUGGAACAGCUAAAUCCAUCUGGCUAGAAACAUGCUCCUUGUGUAAUUUUGUUGGCUGAAUUAUGCUGUGGUUAGGGAAACGGAUCUUCCAGUUAUGGAAAUGUGUUUUAAAUUUAUAAAACUUACAAUUUUAGUCUAGUAAAACUAGUUUCAUACAUUCCAGUCUACUUUAUUGAUUUCAGGAUGAUUUACUCCUGGAACCAAAUAUGAUGUGAUGAAUAUGCCAGCCAACCCUCUCUAUCAGCAACAAACCCACUUUUAAUAUUUGUCAUAACAAUGUUCCAGGUUGUUUUUCAAGUUUGAAUUACAGACUGGUAAAUUAAGAAUGCAUUACACAUAAGAAAAGGUAUACAAAAGAUUAUAAUGUUUUAUAAGAACAUUAUAGUUCUAAUCUAACAAUGCACAAUCAGUAAAACUAAAUUUUUAAAGCAAAACAUACAAGAGUCAAAAUUCUUAAAGCAAAAAUAUCUUGGCUUAGUUGCAUAUAUUUUUCAUUUUAAAGGAAAUGUCUUAACAGAAGUAGAACUAUAAUAAGCAGUACUACUUUUAAAGUUUAGCUAAGUGUACAUGGUGAUAGAAUUGUAUUUCCAGCCUACUUAACUAUUUAGUCUAAAUUCCUCCCCCCCAAUUAUUCUAUUAUACUUUUGAAGAAUUUACCAUUUUAUGAAGGUGAAAUACACAUAAGAUGAUGAUAACAGAAAAUGAAUAUGUUAAAUCUCUGUUCAGUUGUUAGUUUCUAGCUGUACUAAGGAUAAUAUAGUCACAGUAGUACAGGCAAAUUCAAAUAUACUAUUCUGUUUCAAUGUCUGAACAAUUUGGUUCAGUUAUGCAAAUGCUCAUUCAAGUAGUCUUUAUUCAUAUACAUGAUCAUAUUCAACACAAGUUUUUGCAAACAAUCAAGCCCCUGAAGUGAUGUAAAAAGAGUAUCUUCUGUUUUCUUGUGGUUUUGCACAGUUUUAUGUACUGGAAAAAAUUCCAAAGAAACUCUAUUCAAAAUUGAGUAUUAUGUACAGCAAUAGAUGGCUGCAAAACAUUUUGGUUUCUGUGUUCCUAUUUCUACAACAACAUACAUUAUUGUUAAUCAUCAUAAUCUGAAACUUCAUUGUUGAAAUAUUGGUUUCUUGGCCAGAUUUCUUAUACCUAGAUGAAUACAACUUUGCUGACAUUUAGAAAAUAUUGAUACCUCAAACUUUUGUAUAUGUCAAGUCUGACUGAAUAUAUUAAGUUAAGUAUCUUUUGGACUGCAUGGGUAAAUUAUUAUGACAUCAUCAUACUGUGGAGGAACUGGGUUGCACUUCCUCCAAAGAUUAUGCAUUACUUAAAAAUGGUUGAAAGCCAUUUCUCUCUUUAUUAUGAUUGUCACAUUAACAAAAGAAAACAGGUAGCUUUCCAGGAACAUUUUAUUUAUUUAGAGCCUCUGAGAUUUCCCAGUAGAAUAUGUCAUAUAAUCCAACAAAAAUGCUUAGUGUGACAGAUUCUGCAACAUACAUUACACUCUGUGGAAAGUCAUUUAUGAAAAAAAGAAUUAUGCCCAUGUUAUUUGGUGUUAUCUACAUAUCCUAAUAAAACAUAAAUUGAAAGCAGGCAUUGGUUAUGGAAGUUUGAACUGUAUUUUAUUGUCAUUGUUUUCACUAUUUAAUUUGAUUAAAUGAACAUUUUGUGUAAAUCUGACCAUCUGAGAACAAAGUUAAAACUUGCAAUUAUUUUGUGAAAUUAAAGAAACAUUUCAGCUUUA